UACAGAGGGGGCUAGCGUUGCUCGGAAUUACUGGGCGUAAAGGGCGCGUAGGCGGCUCUGUUAGUCAGGCGUGAAAGCCCUGGGCUCAACCUGGGGACUGCGCUUGAUACGGCGGGGCUUGAGGGCAGGAGAGGCUCGCGGAAUUCCCAGUGUAGAGGUGAAAUUCGUAGAUAUUGGGAAGAACACCGGUGGCGAAGGCGGCGAGCUGGCCUGUUACUGACGCUGAGGCGCGACAGCGUGGGGAGCAAACAGG
rnacentral:rRNA from 1 species